CUACACCAAUUGAACUGCGUAAGAACGUAUACUGUUGGGUACGCCGCAUAUGUCUGAGCCGGAGUCGUUUCUCCAAAUAUAAAGACAUGGAGGAACUGUCCAAAUGACAAACCUACAAGAAAAGCUGUACAGAGACUGAGGAGCUUUCCAGGCUGCUUAAAACGCGCGAGAUGGUUAGCACCUGACUCUGAGGGUGGAGGAAUCUGCUUUGCGACGCCUCGGGUUUGGCGAGCGCCGUGGGCGUUCGACGUUACCCAGAACCCCCUGACGACGCCUCCGGCAGUUCCAGUGACGGAUGCAAGAACAUCAAAUGACGUAAACGUUGGGACUGGGCCAACGCCACCGGCCUGCUUCUGCACCAGUGCUGUGCUCUGUGCGUUCAAGUAUUCUGUGGCCUGUGUUCAGUGCUCAGUCCUCUGUGUUCAGUAUACUAUGCCCCGUGUUCAAGCAUUAGGUGCUCUGAAAC